rnacentral:lncRNA from 1 species
GGAAGUGCCACGAAAGAGUUUGCGGAUAUUGUAAUAUCUGGUGAACUCAUAGAGAAUGCCGUCAAGAGCGGUAGAAUGGAAGGAUCAGAAGGCUCAAGAAAAGCAGCACCCUUAAGGAAGAAAGAGCCAGAAGCCCACAUGGUGGGAACUGGGAGUCGUUACAUUCUCAAUUCGUAUCCUAACCAACCCCGACCUCGAAAUUAUCCACCCUCGAAUUUCUAUUAUCCCCCUCAAACCCCUUACUACCAAGCACCACAUCCGUCCUGCCCCGUAUACGCCACGAACAAC